rnacentral:tRNA from 1 species
UCCCCGGUGGUCCAGUGGUUAAGACUCUGGCUUCCCAAUGCAAGGGGCCCAGGUUCAAUCCCUGGUCAGGGAA